UGCCAGCCGCCGCGGUAAUACGGAGGGGGUUAGCGUUGUUCGGAAUUACUGGGCGUAAAGCGCACGUAGGCGGAUUAGUAAGUUAGAGGUGAAAUCCCAGGGCUCAACCCUGGAACUGCCUCCAAAACUCCUAGUCUAGAGUUCGAGAGAGGUGAGUGGAAUUCCGAGUGUAGAGGUGAAAUUCGUAGAUAUUCGGAGGAACACCAGUGGCGAAGGCGGCUCACUGGCUCGAUACUGACGCUGAGAUCCGAAAGUGCGGGGAGCAAACAGGAUUAGAUA
rnacentral:rRNA from 1 species